GCCGGAAGUGACCUUCCUGGCCGCUUCCGCCCGCGCUGCUCCCCCUCCCCUUCCCACUCCCCCUCCAGCCUCCACCCCGUCCUCGCCGCUCUAGGAAGGCGAGCCCGGCGACCCCCUAGCCGCCGCCCCCCAAGCUCUAUGAUAACAAGGGACAGAGAGCUCAAGGCACCUGCCGAAAGUCACAUGCUGAGAAUGCAGAGCCUGGGCUCCAACCGUGGGCUCGCUCCCGAUUCCUGUAUUUGACCGUGCCUAAACUGCCUCCCAUAAUGAACCAUUGAUCCCAGUAGCUGAGGAUUCACCUACUUUCCUCAUGUGAGGCAGGCACUUAGGAAGCACUCACUGAAUGUCAGCUGUUAUUUCAGUGUUCUCAUAUAAGAAGAUGUUUUAAAAUUAUUGUUUACACCACAGUGUGCUGGCAGGCCAAGUCAUUGCCCCCCCCCCCCCCGCCAACGCUCCCACCCCACACACUUGGCUGGCUCUCACGUCAGUGGCAGAUGACUUACCGUAAUUAUUUAUAAGUGUUUUAUUAUCAUCAUCACUGAAACAGUCACCAAUAAUAAAUAAAUAAACAUAAAUGACGGAUUAAGAAAAGAGAAACAGUCACGGAGCUUGGGAGUCAGGAAGAUGGGGAUAUACAAUUCCCUUGUUGAAUAACACCUCUCACAGCCUCAAGAAUCUGUACAAAUUUGCUUAAUUUAGGACCUGAUCCUAGCAAAGUCUCAGUGAAAAUGCUAGUGAUUAGCAGGACUUAUUAGUGCUAUUAUUUCUGCUGUGGCCGCUGAAUACCCUCAUAUCUCAAUCUGCAUCAAUCAUAAGAUGUGUGUUGUUGAUCUAAUGACAUCUUUUCAGGAUAAAAAAUAGUUCUGUAUUAAACGUACAUGUAAAUAGUAAGAUAUGCCUGUGUCUCACCUUCAGAAAUAUCGCAAAAGUACAUUUUUAAAUACUAAUUAUUAUUUAUUACUAUGAGUAUGAACUUUACGUCAUGAAACCUGAGUAUAAGACUCAUCAGUGCUCCUCUGAAUCAGAUCACUUGUUGUGUGUCUGCAGUGGCCUGGAGGGGGGCAAAGUGGAAGGCACAGCUUUCUCCCUCUCCCUUUCCACCCUCCCAGCAAACCAAAUUGAGAACCCAAUGAUGAGAUCUGGAGAGCUCUCUUGAUCACCAGACGGAAGCCAUGUAUUGAGGAUGGUGAUGCAACAGCUAGAAGGGGCCAGGUCAACACUUGGUGGCUUUACGAGAAAGAGGUUCUGUGCCAGCAGAGCUAUGACAUGAGAAAAGCUACCUUCUAUCUGAUUUAAAUUUUUUUAAUGUUCAUUUAUUUUUGAGAGAGUGGGACAGAGCACAAGCAGGGGAGGGGCAGAGAGAGGGAGACACAGAAUCCCAAGCAGGCUCCAGGUUCCAAGCUGUGAGCACAGAGCCCAAUGCGGGGCCCAAACUCACCAACUGUGAGACCAUGACCUGAGCCAAAGUCCGAUGCUUAACCGACUGAGCCACCCAAGCAACCCCCUUCUAUCUGAUUUUAAACCAUUCAUAAUUCUGAGUGUCUCUCUUAAGACUGUCAAACCAAUAACGGGUAUUUCCAAGUCAUAGGAUGGGGUUGUAGUCAAAAUGGCUCAUCGAUCACAAAAACCUGCCCUUCCCUUUCAGAGUAUAGAAUUAUCCCUGGAAAGGCUAUUUCCCAUCCAGGGACUACAGCUUGACAUCUGUGUGUGGCCUUGUGAUUGGCUCUAAACACUAGGAUGGGGGCAGAAGGGACACAGACUAUUUCCAGGCCACAGCUAUUAAAAACAAGCAUGCUUGGAGUGCCUGGGUCACGGUCAGUCAGUUAAGCAUCCGACUUCGGCUCAGGUCAUGAUCUCACAGUUCAUGGGUUCAAGCCCCGCGUCAGGCUCUGUGCUGACAGCUCAGAGCCUGGAGCCUGCUUCAGAUUCUGUGUCUCCCUCUCUCUCUCUGCCCCUCCCCCGUUCAUGCUCUGUCUCUCUCUGUCCCAAAAAUAAAUAAACGUUGAAAAAAGAAA